GGAAGCCGGUGCGAUUCCGGCACUGACCCGCAACCGUGAGCUGCGCCGUUCCGCGGCGGAGCGCAGUCGGACUGCCCGGCCGGAGAC
rnacentral:ncRNA from 2 species